UAAAAUGCCAUGUUUUAUAUUAGGUUGUAUUGCAUUCGUUUCACGAAUUUGAUGCAUUGCAUAAGAUGAUAUUUGUAUGGAUGAAUGUUGGAUGAUCCUUAGCCCUUGAUAGAGCACAGAGUACAGAUACAGAGUUAUGGCAUGAGGUAGCCAUACCAGGUCGCUCCUGGAUAGUCCAGGUCGCUCCUGGUACUAUGAGAUAGACAGUUUGACCUGACUCGGAUAGAGAAGUCCAGGUGAGGCCAAAUCGCCCCUGGCACAGUUGGCCUUGUGAUAAAGUCAGGAAAGAGAAGUCCAGGUGAGGCCUAAUCGCCCCUGGCAAGUUGGACAUAUUGUUAUAUGUAUACAGUAAAGGGCUAUUGGUGACAAGUUCAUCCUUGAGGUGAUAUGUUUGUGAUGUGAUACAUUUCAUGAAAGCAUGUAAUUAAUGAACUGUUUA
rnacentral:lncRNA from 1 species